rnacentral:rRNA from 1 species
CAAUGCAGCGUACACAUGCAGUCGAGCGGAACGAUGGAGCUUGCUCCAGGCGUCGAGCGGCGGACGGGUGAGUAAUGCAUAGGAAUCUGCCCGGUAGUGGGGGAUAACCUGGGGAAACCCAGGCUAAUACCGCAUACGUCCUACGGGAGAAAGCAGGGGAUCUUCGGACCUUGCGCUAUCGGAUGAGCCUAUGUCGGAUUAGCUUGUUGGUGAGGUAAUGGCUCACCAAGGCGACGAUCCGUAGCUGGUCUGAGAGGAUGAUCAGCCACAUCGGGACUGAGACACGGCCCGAACUCCUACGGGAGGCAGCAGUGGGGAAUAUUGGACAAUGGGCGAAAGCCUGAUCCAGCCAUGCCGCGUGUGUGAAGAAGGCUUUCGGGUUGUAAAGCACUUUCAGUGAGGAAGAAGGCCUUGGGGCUAAUACCCCCGAGGAAGGACAUCACUCACAGAAGAAGCACCGGCUAACUCCGUGCCAGCAGCCGCGGUAAUACGGAGGGUGCGAGCGUUAAUCGGAAUUACUGGGCGUAAAGCGCGCGUAGGCGGCGUGAUAAGCCGGUUGUGAAAGCCCCGGGCUCAACCUGGGAACGGCAUCCGGAACUG